CCUACGGGCGGCUGCAGUGGGGAAUAUUGCACAAUGGGCGCAAGCCUGAUGCAGCCAUGCCGCGUGUGUGAAGAAGGCCUUCGGGUUGUAAAGCACUUUCAGCGGGGAGGAAGGCGGUGAGGUUAAUAACCUCAUCGAUUGACGUUACCCGCAGAAGAAGCACCGGCUAACUCCGUGCCAGCAGCCGCGGUAAUACGGAGGGUGCAAGCGUUAAUCGGAAUUACUGGGCGUAAAGCGCACGCAGGCGGUCUGUCAAGUCGGAUGUGAAAUCCCCGGGCUCAACCUGGGAACUGCAUUCGGAAACUGGCAGGCUAGAGUCUUGUAGAGGGGGGUAGAAUUCCAGGUGUAGCGGUGAAAUGCGUAGAGAUCUGGAGGAAUACCGGUGGCGAAGGCGGCCCCCUGGACAAAGACUGACGCUCAGGUGCGAAAGCGUGGGGAGCAAACAGGAUUAGAUACCCGAGUAGUC
rnacentral:rRNA from 1 species